AUUGAACGCUGGCGGAAUGCUUUACACAUGCAAGUCGAACGGUAGAGGGGGCAACCCCUCGAGAGUGGCGAACGGGUGAGUAAUAUAUCGGAACGUGCCCAGUCGUGGGGGAUAACGUAGCGAAAGUUACGCUAAUACCGCAUACGAUCUAUGGAUGAAAGCGGGGGAUCGCAAGACCUCGCGCGAUUGGAGCGGCCGAUAUCAGAUUAGGUAGUUGGUGGGGUAAAGGCUCACCAAGCCAACGAUCUGUAGCUGGUCUGAGAGGACGACCAGCCACACUGGAACUGAGACACGGUCCAGACUCCUACGGGAGGCAGCAGUGGGGAAUUUUGGACAAUGGACGCAAGUCUGAUCCAGCCAUUCCGCGUGCAGGAUGAAGGCCCUCGGGUUGUAAACUGCUUUUGUACGGAACGAAAAGGUUUCUAUUAAUACUAGGAGCUCAUGACGGUACCGUAAGAAUAAGCACCGGCUAACUACGUG
rnacentral:rRNA from 1 species